CAGACUUGAUUAACAAUGAAUAUUAGCCAUUUGUUGGGUGCCUCUUGGAGUAUUCUGCCCCUCUUCAGUUCUUGAACAUGAUUGAUGGUGAAUUUCAGCAUCAGAACUCCUGGAUGGACGAAUGGACUCUGACCCUUAAAAGGCACUGGUACAAACCCAGACUAAUUUGUAACCGUUUUAUACAAGGUGAGGUAAAAAGUUGCUGAAACUUUUACAUCAGAUUGAGUUGAGACUGGUAGAGUUUCUACCCUGCACAUAACUGCGCCAAGAGCGAUGCAGAAUAUACCAGCCUUGUAAACAUGCCUGUUAACUGUUAUUCGCCUCUGAAGUUAUCCUGAAGCCUAGGAGGUGAAGUGUUCUGAAGGAGUAUGAAACAUCAUUAGUUCUUUGUUCUGCUAUCUUUCACUCAACUUGUUAGUUGAUGAAGGGCAUCUGCUUUUUAACAUGACAGAGACAGUUGUUGGAUAUGUCAUAAUUAUAUAUUCCUCAUUAAAGAAGAAGAUAAACUGUUGUUCAAGGUGACAUUGUAAGUUAAAUUCACUCCAAAAGCACCCUGUAUAGUACUUGCAUGACUGUAGUUAAAUUCAUUCUGAAAGCACCCUAGUGCUUGCAUACAUGGCAAUGUAAAUUUUUAACUAAGAUACAUGAAACGGUCCAGCAUUUACUAUUGCUUUGCGAUGUGGACCUUGUUUAUGUUCUCACAUUUUAGUUAAACAUCCUGCCUGUAGAGGAUGGGUAAUAAUGCUUCCAUAUUUAUCUAAUGUAUCGCCUGCCUCCACAUCCGUUCUCCCUUUGGCAAUUGAAGAACACUGCUGCCACAGGGGGUCCAAGAGCAUAAAGUGCGGAGAAGUCUCUUGUAUUGAAAUUUGGUCUCCAUCCUGGUG
rnacentral:lncRNA from 1 species